rnacentral:rRNA from 1 species
GACGAACGCUGGCGGCAGGCCUAACACAUGCAAGUCGAGCGAGCGGCGGACGGGUGAGUAAUGUAUGGGGACUGCCCGAUAGAGGGGGAUAACUACUGGAAACGGUGGCUAAUACCGCAUACUAUCGGAGAACCCCUAUGGGAUUAGCUAGUAGGUAAGGUAAUGGCUUACCUAGGCGACGAUCCCUAGCUGGUCUGAGAGGAUGAUCAGCCACACUGGGACUGAGACACGGCCCAGACUCCUACGGAGGCACCAGUGGGGAAUAUUGCACAAUGGGCGAAAGCCUGAGGCAGCCAUGCCGCGUGUAUGAAGAAGGCCCUCGGGUUGUAAAGUAUUUUCAGUCGGGAGGCGUUACCGACAGAAGAAGCACCGGCUAACUCCGUGCCAGCAGCCGCGGUAAUUC